rnacentral:rRNA from 1 species
GACGAACGCUGGCGGCGUGCUUAACACAUGCAAGUCGAACGGAAAGGCCCUGCUUUUGUGGGGUGCUCGAGUGGCGAACGGGUGAGUAACACGUGAGUAACCUGCCCUUGACUUUGGGAUAACUUCAGGAAACUGGGGCUAAUACCAGAUAGGAGCUCCUGCUGCAUGGUGGGGGUUGGAAAGUUUCGGCGGUUGGGGAUGGACUCGCGGCUUAUCAGCUUGUUGGUGGGGUAGUGGCUUACCAAGGCUUUGACGGGUAGCCGGCCUGAGAGGGUGACCGGCCACAUUGGGACUGAGAUACGGCCCAGACUCCUACGGGAGGCAGCAGUGGGGAAUAUUGCACAAUGGGCGGAAGCCUGAUGCAGCAACGCCGCGUGCGGGAUGACGGCCUUCGGGUUGUAAACCGCUUUCACCUGUGACGAAGCGUGAGUGACGGUAAUGGGUAAAGAAGCACCGGCUAACUACGUGCCAGCAGCCGCGGUGAUACGUAGGGUGCGAGCGUUGUCCGGAUUUAUUGGGCGUAAAGGGCUCGUAGGUGGUUGAUCGCGUCGGAAGUGUAAUCUUGGGGCUUAACCCUGAGCGUGCUUUCGAUACGGGUUGACUUGAGGAAGGUAGGGGAGAAUGGAAUUCCUGGUGGAGCGGUGGAAUGCGCAGAUAUCAGGAGGAACACCAGUGGCGAAGGCGGUUCUCUGGGCCUUUCCUGACGCUGAGGAGCGAAAGCGUGGGGAGCGAACAGGCUUAGAUACCCUGGUAGUCCACGCUGUAAACGGUGGGUACUAGGUGUGGGGUCCAUUCCACGGGUUCCGUGCCGUAGCUAACGCUUUAAGUACCCCGCCUGGGGAGUACGGCCGCAAGGCUAAAACUCAAAGGAAUUGACGGGGCCCCGCACAAGCGGCGGAGCAUGCGGAUUAAUUCGAUGCAACGCGUAGAACCUUACCUGGGUUUGACAUGGAUCGGGAGUGCUCAGAGAUGGGUGUGCCUCUUUUGGGGUCGGUUCACAGGUGGUGCAUGGCUGUCGUCAGCUCGUGUCGUGAGAUGUUGGGUUAAGUCCCGCAACGAGCGCAACCCUUGUUCACUGUUGCCAGCACGUUAUGGUGGGGACUCAGUGGAGACCGCCGGGGUCAACUCGGAGGAAGGUGGGGAUGACGUCAAGUCAUCAUGCCCCUUAUGUCCAGGGCUUCACGCAUGCUACAAUGGCUGGUACAGAGAGUGGCGAGCCUGUGAGGGUGAGCGAAUCUCGGAAAGCCGGUCUCAGUUCGGAUUGGGGUCUGCAACUCGACCUCAUGAAGUCGGAGUCGCUAGUAAUCGCAGAUCAGCAACGCUGCGGUGAAUACGUUCCCGGG